rnacentral:misc_RNA from 1 species
GAACUGCGAUAAGUAAUGUGAAUUCCAGAAUUCAGUGAAUCAUCGAGUCUUUGAACGCACAUUGCGCCCCCUGGCAUUCCGGGGGGCAUGCCUGUCCGAGCGUCAUUGCUGCCCUUCAAGCCCGGCUUGUGUGUUGGGUCGUCGUCCCCUCCGGGGGACGGGCCCGAAAGGCAGCGGCGGCACCGCGUCCGGUCCUCGAGCGUAUGGGGCUUUGUCACCCGCUCGAUAAGGACCGGCCGGGCGCCAGCCGGCGUCUCCAACCUUUUUUUCUCAGGUUGACCUCGGAUCAGGUAGGGAUACCCGCUGAACUUAAGC